GAUGAACGCUGGCGGCGUGCCUAACACAUGCAAGUCGAGCGAUUUACUUCGGUAAAGAGCGGCGGACGGGUGAGUAACGCGUGGGUAACCUGCCCUGUACACACGGAUAACAUACCGAAAGGUAUGCUAAUACGAGAUAAUAUGCUGUUAUCGCAUGGGAGAAGUAACAAAGCUUUUGCGGUACAGGAUGGACCCGCGUCUGAUUAGCUAGUUGGUGAGGUAACGGCUCACCAAGGCGACGAUCAGUAGCCGACCUGAGAGGGUGAUCGGCCACAUUGGAACUGAGACACGGUCCAAACUCCUACGGGAGGCAGCAGUGGGGAAUAUUGCACAAUGGGCGAAAGCCUGAUGCAGCAACGCCGCGUGAGCGAUGAAGGCCUUCGGGUCGUAAAGCUCUGUCCUCAAGGAAGAUAAUGACGGUACUUGAGGAGGAAGCCCCGGCUAACUACGUGCCAGCCGCCGCGGUAACAC
rnacentral:rRNA from 1 species